rnacentral:miRNA from 1 species
UAGGAGGUAGAAGAUGCCAGG